GUGAAUCAUCAAAUUUUUGAACGCAAAUUGCGCCUUUUUCGGAAGGAAUGUCCGUUUGAGGGCACCAUUUAACAAAUAAUGUGCAGCGUUUUUGGUUGCACACGUUGAUGAGCUCUCUACGAAUAGUAAAUCUUUGAUGGCGCAUAAUGAACAGCGAGAAAGUUUUUUUCGGUUCAAGUGUAGUAAGAUGUUUUCUUG
rnacentral:misc_RNA from 1 species